rnacentral:snRNA from 1 species
GUGCUCACUUUGGCAGCACAUAUACUAAAAUUGGAAUGAUACAGAGAAGAUUAGCAUGGCUUCUGUGCAAGGAUGACAUGAAAAUUUGUGAAACAUAGGAGAAAGGA